rnacentral:rRNA from 1 species
CCAGCAGCCGCGGUAAUACGUAGGGGGCAAGCGUAUCCGGAAUUACUGGGUGUAAAGGGUGCGUAGGCGGUAUGGCAAGUUUGAUGUGAAACCCAUGGGCUCAACCCAUGGCAUGCAUCGAAAACUACUAAACUAGAGUGCAGGAGAGGAAAGGGAAUUCCUAGUGUAGCGGUGAAAUGCGUAGAUAUUAGGAAGAACACCAGUGGCGAAGGCGCUUUCUGGACUGCAACUGACGCUGAGGCACGAAAGCGUGGGGAGCAAACAGGAUUAGAUCCCUGGUAGUCCACGCUGUAAACGAUGAAUGCUAGGUGUCGGGUCCAAACGGAUUCGGUGCGCAGUUAACGCAAUAAGCAUUCCACCUGGGGAGUACGACCGCAAGGUUGAAACUCAAAGAAUUGACGGGGGCCCGCACAAGCGGUGGAGCAUGUGGAUUAAUUCGACGCAACGCGAAGACCUUACCAGGUCUUGACAUCUCCCUGAAUACUGUAGAGAUACGGUAGGCCUUCGGGACAGGAUGACAGGUGGUGCAUGGUUGUCGUCAGCUCGUGUCGUGAGAUGUUGGGUUAAGUCCCGAACGAGCGCAACCCCUAUUGACAGUAGCCAGCGGUUCGGCCGGGCACUCUGUUAAGACUGCGGGGAUAACUCGGAGGAAGGUGGGGAUGACGUCAAAUCAUCAUGCCCCUUAUGACCUGGCUUCACACGUGCUACAAUGGCUGUCACAAAGUGAAGCGAACCUGCGAAGGAGAGCAAAGCCAAAAAGGCAGUCCCAGUUCGGAUUGCAGGCUGCAACCCGCCUGCAUGAAGCUGGAAUCGUAGUAAUCGCGAAUCAGCAUGUCGCGGUGAAUACGUUCCCGGGCCUUGCACACACCGCCCU